UACAGAGGUCCCAAGCGUUGUUCGGAUCCACUGGGCGUAAAGGGUGCGUAGGUGGUGAAGUAAGUCGGAUGUGAAAUCUCGGAGCUUAACUCCGAAACUGCAUUGGAAACUACUUUGCUCGAGGGUUGGAGGGGGGACUGGAAUUCUCGGUGUAGCAGUGAAAUGCGUAGAUAUCGAGAGGAACACCAGUGGCGAAGGCGAGUCCCUGGACAACUCCUGACACUGAGGCACGAAAGCUAGGGGAGCAAACAGG
rnacentral:rRNA from 1 species